rnacentral:rRNA from 1 species
AUACGGAGGAUGCGAGCGUUAUCCGGAUUUAUUGGGUUUAAAGGGUGCGUAGGCGGGGCGAAAAGUCAGCGGUCAAAGUUCCGGGCUCAACCCGGUGACGCCGUUGAAACUUUCGUGCUGGAGUUCGUGCGAGGGAGGCGGAAUGCGUUGUGUAGCGGUGAAAUGCAUAGAUAUGACGCAGAACCCCGAUUGCGAAGGCAGCUUUCCAGCACGCGACUGACGCUGAGGCACGAAAGCGUGGGGAGCGAACAGGAUUAGAUACCCUGGUAGUCCACGCGGUAAACGAUGAAUACUAGCCCUGCGGCGCGAUUGGGUGCUGCGGGGGAGAGUGAAAACGUUAAGUAUUCCACCUGGGGAGUACGCCGGCAACGGUGAAACUCAAAGGAAUUGACGGGG